ACGGCUCAGUAACACGUGGACAACCUGCCCUUAGGACGGGGAUAAACCCGGGAAACUGGGUAUAAUACCCGAUAGGUCUCGAUUGCUGGAAUGCAUCGAGAUUUAAAGCUCCGGCGCCUAAGGAUGGGUCUGCGGCCUAUCAGGUAGUAGUGGGUGUAGCGUACCUACUAGCCUACGACGGGUACGGGUUGUGAGAGCAAGAGCCCGGAGAUGGAUUCUGAGACACGAAUCCAGGCCCUACGGGGUGCAGCAGGCGCGAAAACUUUACAAUGCUGGCAACAGCGAUAAGGGAACCUCGAGUGCCAGGUUACAAAUCUGGCUGUCGAGAUGCCUAAAAAGCAUUUCAUAGCAAGGGCCGGGCAAGACCGGUGCCAGCCGCCGCGGUAACACCGGCGGCUCGAGUGGUAACCGUUAUUAUUGGGUCUAAAGGGUCUGUAGCCGGCCGGAUAAGUCUCUUGAGAAAUCUGGCAGCUUAACUGUCAGGCUUUCAGGAGAUACUGUCUGGCUCGAGGCCGGGAGAGGUGAGAGGUACUUCAGGGGUAGGGGUGAAAUCUUGUAAUCCUUGAAGGACCACCAGUGGCGAAGGCGUCUCACCAGAACGGACCUGACGGCAAGGGACGAAAGCUAGGGGCACGAACCGGAUUAGAUACCCGGGUAGUCCUAGCCGUAAACGAUACUCGCUAGGUGUCGGCCACGGUGCGACCGUUGUCGGUGCCGUAGGAAGCCGUGAAGCGAGCCACCUGGGAAGUACGGCCGCAAGGCUGAAACUUAAAGGAAUUGGCGGGGGAG
rnacentral:rRNA from 1 species